UCUUUCUUUUUUUUUUCCAGGCUGAAAAGAGCUGGUCUAUUAUACACUCAUCAUCCUGAUACCAUCCUGUACCUUUGAUCAGCCUUGUAUUUCUACAAGAACUUGGAGAGAUUGUACAAGGAAGAUGAACUAUUCUAUGCAAGAAGGAUAUUUGAGAACAGCCAUUUCCAGAAUGGAUCUGAUGGCACAGAGAACCACAGUGAUGCAUCCUAAAAUCACUCAGUGCAUCUCAGACUUGAACUUAUUAAUUUAUAAUAAAAAUAAUUUGUUUCUAUGGGAAUGGAGUGAAUCUACCUUACAAAAAAUCUGCCAUAGUCCUGCACUAAAAUUUAAUAGGAUUUUUGUACAGGAGAAGAUAUGACCUGGUAGCAACAACUACAGUUCUAAUAAUCAUUGUUCAUAUUGAUCACUGUCUGCUGCAAUUGAUUGGAUAAAAGGUUAUCAGAAAUAAAUACAAACUCCCCCCCCUCA
rnacentral:lncRNA from 1 species